rnacentral:misc_RNA from 1 species
GUUGAGUUGAGUAUAGUGUUGUAGUGUUACGAAUAGCGUGCAAUUGGUUGGUUUGGUUCCGAAUUGAACCUCUUAAAUAGUAAAUGAAUCUACAAAUAUUUUCAAGUGCAUCCAUCACCAAACAUCAACUUUAAAUUCCUGUACCACGAUAUACAAGUCAUUACUAGAAGAGCAAAACAAGGGAACAAAAAAAGGGUCUACCACCAAAUUUUAUAUUUCAAACUAGAAUACUAGCCAUAACACAAAAUUCAAUCUAAACAAGCUAGGACACUUUUCUUUUCUAUUUUUAUCCAAAGUUUUUUGGCUGCAAAAAUCAAUAGUUUUAACUGAAUUGGGUUUCAAUGAUCCUUUCUGGUUUCCCAUUUUUUCCAAAUUCGACUAAGUCAAAAGUUGGUUAACAUAUGGCUAAAUCCAGAAUGGACCCAACAUUGGUUCCCCAUUUGGACUGACUGGACUGGUACAGUCUUCAAAACAGUGACAAUUAAUGCAAACUCUUCAAAGGACAAGCAUAUCUACUUCUUGUUCUUGUGGCGUCCCAAAUAGUUAAUCAUCUGCAGCAUACAAUGAACCACAUACAAAAUAUAAAGUUUCAACAUGUCAUAGAACAUGCCACAAUUACUCUUUACAUCUUUGAUGUAGACAAAUUAAAUCAUACAGGAUAAAAAUAAUGAUAAAAAAAAUACGUGAGUACAUUCCAGUAAAACAUCAAAAAAUGACUACAUAAAUAGAAAUUCUAAGCCACAAAAAUAAAAUCAUUUAUGGACAAGACAAAUAUGUCUGAUUCUCCAGAAAACUGGACACAGAAUGAGGAGUAAAAUAUAAUUUUGAUUCAAUGUAAAGUGUCUAGGCUUGCUGACUUCAUCCGUGGUAUUUUUUUAGUCAAAGAAAUAGCAACAACCAAGAAAAGGGAGAGAAUGGACUUUCUGAAACAACAUGGAGGACAGCUAAGUUUUAAUGAUUUUAAAUU